rnacentral:rRNA from 1 species
AUACGUAGGGGGCGAGCGUUGUCCGGAAUGAUUGGGCGUAAAGGGCGCGUAGGCGGCCCGGUAAGUCUGGAGGGAAAGUCCUGUUUUUAAGAUGGGAAUUGCUUUGGAUACUGUCGGGCUUGAGGGCAGGAGAGGGAAGUGGAAUUCCCAGUGUAGCGGGGAAAUGCGUAGAGAUUGGGAGGAACACCAGUGGCGAAGGCGACUUACUGGACUGUAACUGACGCUGAGGCGCGAAAGUGUGGGGAGCAAACAGGAUUAGAUACCCUGGUAGUCCACACUGUAAACGAUGAAUGCUAGGUGUAGGGGGUAUCGACCCCUUCUGUGCCGCAGUCAACACAAUAAGCAUUCCGCCUGGGGAGUACGGCCGCAAGGUUGAAACUCAAAGGAAUUGGCGGGG